UACGUAGGGUGCGAGCGUUGUCCGGAAUUAUUGGGCGUAAAGAGCUCGUAGGCGGUUUGUCGCGUCUGCUGUGAAAUCCCGAGGCUCAACCUCGGGUCUGCAGUGGGUACGGGCAGACUAGAGUGCGGUAGGGGAGACUGGAAUUCCUGGUGUAGCGGUGAAAUGCGCAGAUAUCAGGAGGAACACCGGUGGCGAAGGCGGGUCUCUGGGCCGUAACUGACGCUGGAGGAGCGAAAGCAUGGGGAGCGAACAGG
rnacentral:rRNA from 1 species